rnacentral:lncRNA from 1 species
UACUAUGAAUAUGUGGCCCCUUAAAUUUCACUGGAUGUUUCUGGUUUUCGGUCCCAUCAACCUCAAACCCUACGAUUGUGGUUGAGUCAGGGAGGCUGCAAGGGUCUCUUGGCGGUGCUGAACAGGUGACAGGUGGAUCUUUCUGUUGCUGAUGCUGUGAGAUGUUCAGGCACAGUCGUACACCAAAGUGUCAGAGACCGUGCUCCAGACCCAGUUCCUGGACCUGCCCUGGAAAAGAAGUAUCCCGUAGAGAUGAGCUCACUGCAGUUACUUAAUUAACAAUUUGUAAGCUGCAAAAAUGGCAAUGGGCCAACCAAGAACAGCUACAAUUUGAAUUUUUCUAUUUCCAGAGUUUCGCUCUUGUUGCCCAGGCUGGAGUGCAAUGGUGUGAUCUCGGCUUACUGCAACCUCCGCCUCCCGAGUUCAAGCAAUUCUCCUGCCUCACCCUCCCAAAUAGCUGGGAUUACAGAAAAUGUAGUACCUACCACAAAACCACAGUACAUAAAUUGCCAAGUGUGGCCGAC